UCUCUUCUUGACCCCUGCAGCAGACCUGUGCACUGAGUCAGGAAAACCUUCAGUGUCACUGGUUUGUUGCAAUGGUCAAGGGAGA
rnacentral:pre_miRNA from 1 species